ensembl:lncRNA
CUUCUUCCAUUUUUUUAUAAUUGUGCCAACAGUUGCUGCCUUCUCAUCAAGAUGCUUGCCUAUUGUCCUGUACCCCAUCCCAGCCUUGUGCAGGUCUACAAUUUUAUCCCUGAUGUCCAUACACAGCUCUCUGGUCUUGGCCAUUUUGGAGAGGUUGGAGUCUGUUUGAUUGAGCGUGUGGACAGGUGUCUUUUAUACAGUUGAAGUGUACCUGUGAUAAAAAUUACAGACCUCUGCAUGAUUUAUUUUCUGGUGGCUACAGCUAUCCAUUAUCAUUCACAUUCAAAUUGUAUCAUGGUUGUAUGCUGGUGUCAUUAGUUACACCAGCUUGAAAGAAAUCACUUUACUAACUUGGUACAGAACAUUAUCCACAUCUAACAGGUAGUUUUGCAAAUAAAAUGAAUUUGCAUGUAUUUAUUGUAGCUGUGGUCAGACAGGC